UAAUGAUCCCUUUUGUUCAUUAUGAUAUUCAGAAAGGUGCAUGCAUUGAUGUGUUUGUGGGGUGCAAUGAAAUGCAAGGCCUGUUGUAAUGUAAUGCUGAAGACUCAGAAGAAAAAAGAUAGUACCUCCUACCAGUGACAGGAAGAUUCAGGUUCUGUUCAAUGUGAAUAAUCUGUGCACCACUUAGGGGGCAAAAAGGAGUUCCUUGGGGAGUGUACACGUUGACAUAAGGUAUGGAGUUUUACCAGGAGGUCUUGAGAUUGUGGACCAGACAGAUCCCAAAAACUGUAUCUGUGUGACCACUAGUGGGGACAGGCAAAAGGCUGAGAAUUAUUGACAUCAAGGUUGCGGAAACAUUGAUUCUUCCCCCUGAUGAAGGUGCAUGUUAGCAGUGAUGAAUGAAUGGAUGUUUGUGUCUAACGAAACCCUAAGGCCCUGAUUCCUCUGGGUAAGAGCACAGAUUGUACAUCUGAGACUGAAACACAAAGAGUAAAGGUCGGGUUCAGGCUCAGGUAAGAACUUAGCAGAAAGGCAUGUGUACAAAUAAAGAUCUUCUUGAGCCCCUAUCUGGAUUUUCCAUUACACCUGCCUCAUUAAAUUUUGAAAAAUAUAUUCAUUUUGUCAGAAGGUUUAUUUACAUAGAAAAAAAAGAAAAAAAAACCAACAUUCUUGGACAGCUA